rnacentral:tRNA from 1 species
GCAGGGCACGGACGUGGCGAUGCUUCUGCGGCGGCUGGCGUCCGCCGUCGGCGCCUCGAAGCCGGAGCGGCCGCUCGGGUCGAUCUGCCCGGUG